UUUAAAGUCUAAUCUGCCCUAUGAGGUAUUAAAUGGCCGCGGUACUUUGACCGUGCAAAGGUAGCAUAAUAAUUAGUUUUUUAAUUGAAAGCUGGAAUGAAUGAUUGGACGAGAAAAUAGCUGUCUCAAUUUAAUUUUAUUAGAAUUUUAUUUUUAAGUAAGAAAGCUUAAAUGUUAUUAAAAGACGAGAAGACCCUAUAGAGUUUUAUAAUUUAUUAAUUAUUGAUUUUUAAGUUUAAUUUUAUUAAUAAUAGAUGAAUUAUUUUGUUGGGGCGAUAGGGAAAUAGAUUUAACUUUCUUUAUAUGUAAACAUUGAUAUAUGAUUUUUUGAUCCAUAGUUUAUGAUUAUAAGAUUAAGUUACCUUAGGGAUAACAGCGUAAUUUUUUUUUAGAGUUCUUAUCGAAAAAAGAGAUUGCGACCUCGAUGUUGGAUUAAAAUUAAUGCUUGGUGUAGGAGCUAAGUAAUUAGGUCUGUUCGACCUUUAAAAUUUUACA
rnacentral:rRNA from 1 species